rnacentral:rRNA from 1 species
AUUUUAGUGAUGUCUGAGUACUAUAUAAUAGUUAAACUUUCAACAACGGAUCUCUUGGUUCUGGCAUCGAUGAAGAACGCAGCGAAAUGCGAUAAGUAAUGUGAAUUGCAGAAUUCAGUGAAUCAUCGAAUCUUUGAACGCACAUUGCGCCCGGUGGUAUUCCGCCGGGCAUGCCUGUUCGAGCGUCAUUACAACCAACAAGCUUAGCUUGGUAUUGGGGAUUGCAGUUCCUGCAGCCCUAAAGUCUAAUAGCGGUACCGUUAGGUUCUAAGCGUAGUAAAUCUUCUCGCUACAGAAUCCUCUUGGUUACUUGCCAAAACCCCCUAUUUUACAAAGGUUGACCUCGGAUCAGGUAGGGAUACCCGCUGAACUUAAGCAUAUCAAUAAGCGGAGGAAAAGAAACCAACAGGGAUUACCUCAGUAACGGCGAGUGAAGCGGUAAGAGCUCAAAUUUGAAAGCUGCCACUAGGCCGCGUUGUAAUUUGUAGAAGAUGCUUUGGGUGUUGGCCUAGUCUAAGUUCCUUGGAACAGGACGUCAUAGAGGGUGAGAAUCCCGUAUGUGAUUAGUGCCAUCCCCCGUGUAAAGCUCUUUCGACGAGUCGAGUUGUUUGGGAAUGCAGCUCAAAAUGGGUGGUAAAUUUCAUCUAAAGCUAAAUAUUGGCCAGAGACCGAUAGCGCACAAGUAGAGUGAUCGAAAGAUGAAAAGCACUUUGGAAAGAGAGUUAAACAGUACGUGAAAUUGUUGAAAGGGAAGCGCUUGCAAUCAGACUUGCAGGCGGUUGAUCAUCCGAGGUUCUCCCCGGUGCACUCGAUCGUCUUCAGGCCAGCAUCAGUUUCAGUGGUGGGAUAAAGGCUGUGAGAAUGUGGCUCUUCGGAGUGUUAUAGCUCACGGUGCAAUGCCGCCUACCGGGACUGAGGACCGCGCUCGGCUAGGAUGCUGGCGUAAUGGUUGUAAGCGACCCGUCUUGAAACACGGACCAAGGAGUCUAACAUCUAUGCGAGUGUUUGGGUGUCAAACCCAUACGCGUAAUGAAAGUGAACGGAGGUGAGAACCCUUUAGGGCGCAUCAUCGACCGAUCCUGAUGUCUUCGGAUGGAUUUGAGUAAGAGCAUAGCUGUUGGGACCCGAAAGAUGGUGAACUAUGCGUGAAUAGGGUGAAGCCAGAGGAAACUCUGGUGGANGCUCGCAGCGGUUCUGACGUGCA